GAUGAAGAACGCAGCGAAAUGCGAUAAGUAAUGUGAAUUGCAGAAUUCAGUGAAUCAUCGAAUCUUUGAACGCACAUUGCGCCCGCUAGUAUUCUGGCGGGCAUGCCUGUCCGAGCGUCAUUUCAACCCUCAAGCCCCCGGGCUUGGUGUUGGGGAUCGGCGAGCCUCCGCGCCCGCCGUCCCCUAAAUCUAGUGGCGGUCUCGCUGUAGCUUCCUCUGCGUAGUAGCACACCUCGCACUGGGAAACAGCGCGGCCACGCCGUUAAACCCCCAACUUCUGAACGUUUGACCUCGGAUCAGGUAUGAAUACCCGCUGAACUUAAGCAUAUCAAUAAGCGGAGGA
rnacentral:misc_RNA from 1 species